CUCCUAUGUGGAGAUAGAUUUGUAUGCUUUUAUUUACAUUUAUCUGCGAAAGAAAAUACACGUCGUGCUCAGUUGCUGAAGUGGCUCGCUUUCUAGUCCUUAAGAGCACACAUAACAAAAACAUGUUAAAGAAAUACCAAACAACAUUUUGCAGGGAUUUAGAGGUCAUUGGUGAAAAUGGAAGAAAGGAAAUGGUUCAUCUAAUUUUAAGUGAAAUAACAAGAAUAGUUGAAUGAUUUACAACCAAGCAGCACUCAGAAAUAGUGAUGAAAAGUGAAACUAGAUUUUUGAAAGAUAGAACAUAGAAGAAAAAGGAAAAGCAAAUAUGGUAUACUAACUGUCAGUCAAAGAUUCUAUCAUUCAAGAUGAGUAAACCUUAAAAAUAUAUUGUUUCAGUGUUAUUGCACUUGUAACUAUGUCUACAUAAUACUUCUGCUGGCACACGAAUAAUGUAUAUACCACCACAUAUUAUGUAUCUACUGCAACACAUAGUAUAAUUAUGGCCACAUAAUAUAUAUAUACCGCAAUACAUAAUCAAUCACCACACUACAUAAGUCAUUCACCACAGUCUGUGUAUUCAUAACCACAAUAUUUUUGUCUAUCACCACACUGUGGUCUAUCACCACACUAUUGUCUAUCACGACACUAUGUCUGUCUAUCACCACACUAUGUUUGUCUGUCACCACGCUAUGUUUGUAUAUCGCCACGUUAUGUUUGUCUAUCACCACAAUUUGUUUGUCUAUCACUUCAGUAUGUUUGUCUAUCACCACACUAUUGUCUAUCACUAUGCUUUGUUUACCUAUCACCACACUAUGUAUGUCUAUCACUCCAGUAUGUUUGUCUAUCACAACACUAUAUAUAUUAAUCAUCACUGUUUACAUAUUCACCAACACAUUCUUAUUACCAAUACUUGAUAAAAAGAAAUAGUUAUGAUGAAGCCUUGUUUGCUCUCCCAUUGUCAUUUAAUUAAACAAAAAGGUAGAUCAUUUGAGUCAUGAUUCUGUGUAAAGUCAUUACUAAAGAAAAAAAUAAUUUUAACUUUUCAUUUAAAUGAUUGGUCUCACAGAGGAAUUGUAUUUCUGCAUUACAAAUUUUACAAUUUGAUACAAUCUUGGGAUUAUGUUCUGUUUUUGCACUGAUGAAACACUCUUUAAUCUUAGAUGGAAAAUAAAUAACAACUGUUUGAGGCAUUGAAAUUCUGUAUUGUAUUGGACUAAUUAUAUAUUCAACUGAACCAUAUAAUAUUUUGUAGGUUAAACAAGAUUUAGUGCCGGCCACACAAUUAAGAAAGAAUACGAACAAGAAUUCUUUACAGAACAGGGGAGACUAUUUUACUGUGCUUAGAUCUGUGUUUUUGUUAUAAUUAAUUAAUAUUGUAAUUUGUUCUUGGAUAAAAUAUCUGCAAUGUGGAGGACAACUGAACUGUGUUCUUAUAUAUUGAAGACGUGCAAUGAUUUAAAAUGCAUUUAAGAUGAACUUUUUACUACUCGGAAAAUGGUAAUCAUUAAAGAAACAAACAUAGAAUUCAUUUACAUGAAUACAUUUUAUAUUCUAUGUAUAAAAUGUUAUCUAAAAGGUGAAAGUAAACAGAUUCCUGGCUGUUUAAAAUCAAAUCAAAGCAGUUUUAUUGUGUAGUUAAGAAUGUAUAUACGUUGUUCAUGCAUUUAUGUAUUGGAAUAUUUGAGUUGUACAAUGUAUUGAGUUUAGUGGAUCUUUCAUUCUAUGUUAUUUAGGUUUGAUUUGUAUGAAAUAAAAAGUUCUAAAAUUUUA